UACGUAGGGGGCAAGCGUUGUCCGGAUUUAUUGGGCGUAAAGAGCGUGUAGGCGGCCUGGAAGGUCAGCUGUGAAAACUCGAGGCUCAACCUCGAGACGUCGGUUGAAACCACCUGGCUAGAGUCCGGAAGAGGAGAACGGAAUUCCUGGUGUAGCGGUGAAAUGCGCAGAUAUCAGGAGGAACACCGGUGGCGAAGGCGGUUCUCUGGGCCUGUACUGACGCUGAGGAACGAAAGCGUGGGGAGCGAACAGG
rnacentral:rRNA from 1 species